UGAGGAAUAUUGCACAAUGGGCGCAAGCCUGAUGCAGCAACGCCGCGUGCGGGACGAAGGCCUUCGGGUCGUAAACCGCUUUUCUGGGGAAAGAGCAAGGACGGUACCUCAGGAAUAAGUCUCGGCUAACUACGUGCCAGCAGCCGCGGUAAAACUUAGGAGGCGAGCGUUAUCCGGAUUUACUGGGCGUAAAGCGCACGCAGGCGGCUCUGUGAGUCGGACGUGAAAGCUCCCGGCUUAACCGAGAGAGGCCGUUAGAUACUGCGGGGAGUGAAGUAGGGAGAGGAAUGCGGAAUUCCCGGUGGAGUGGUGGAAUGCGUAGAUAUCGGGAGGAAAACCUGUGGCGAAAGCGGCA
rnacentral:rRNA from 1 species